rnacentral:rRNA from 1 species
UACGUAGGGACCGAGCGUUGUCCGGAAUCAUUGGGCGUAAAGAGCGUGUAGGCGGCCAGGUAGGUCGGUUGUGAAAACUGGAGGCUCAACCUCGAGACGCCGAUGGAAACCGUCUGGCUAGAGUCCGGAAGAGGAGAGUGGAAUUCCUGGUGUAGCGGUGAAAUGCGCAGAUAUCAGGAAGAACACCCGUGGCUAAGGCGGCUCUCUAGUACGGUACUGACGCUGAGACGCGAAAGCGUGGGGAGCAAACAGG